rnacentral:rRNA from 1 species
CCUACGGGAGACAGCAGUGGGGAAUAUUGGGCAAUGGGCGCAAGCCUGACCCAGCAACGCCGCGUGAAGGAAGAAGGCUUUCGGGUUGUAAACUUCUUUUCUGAGGGACGAAGAAAGUGACGGUACCGCAGGAAUAAGCCACGGCUAACUACGUGCCAGCAGCCGCGGUAAUACGUAGGUGGCAAGCGUUAUCCGGAUUUAUUGGGUGUAAAGGGCGUGUAGGCGGGAAAGCAAGUCAGAUGUGAAAACUCAGGGCUCAACCCUGAGCCUGCAUUUGAAACUGUUUUUCUUGAGUGCUGGAGAGGCAAUCGGAAUUCCGUGUGUAGCGGUGAAAUGCGUAGAUAUAUGGAAGAACACCAGUGGCGAAGGCGGCUCUCUGGUCUGCAACUGACGCUGAGGCUCGAAAGCAUGGGUAGCGAACAGGAUUAGAUACCCGUGUAGUC